UACGUAGGGCGCAAGCGUUGUCCGGAAUUAUUGGGCGUAAAGAGCUCGUAGGCGGCCUGUUACGUCUGCUGUGAAAUCCCGGGGCUUAACCCCGGGCGUGCAGUGGAUACGGGCAGGCUGGAGGCAGGCAGGGGAGAACGGAAUUCCCGGUGUAGCGGUGAAAUGCGCAGAUAUCGGGAGGGACACCGGUGGCGAAGGCGGUUCUCUGGGCCUGUACUGACGCUGAGGAGCGAAAGCGUGGGGAGCGAACAGG
rnacentral:rRNA from 1 species